rnacentral:rRNA from 1 species
CAGAGGGUGCGAACGUUGCUCGGAAUCACUGGGCGUAAAGCGCGUGUAGGCGGGUGAUCAAGUCAGGUGUGAAAUCCCUGGGCUCAACCCAGGAACUGCAUCUGAAACUGGUCGUCUUGAGUACUGGAGAGGGAAGCGGAAUUCCUGGUGUAGAGGUGAAAUUCGUAGAUAUCAGGAGGAACACCGGUGGCGAAGGCGGCUUCCUGGACAGUCACUGACGCUGAGACGCGAAAGCAUGGGGAGCAAACAGGAUUAGAUACCCUGGUAGUCCAUGCUGUAAACGAUGAGUGCUAGGUAUCUCGGGUAUUGACCCCUGAGGUGCCGUAGCUAACGCGUUAAGCACUCCGCCUGGGAACUACGGCCGCAAGGCUA